rnacentral:rRNA from 1 species
UACGGAGGGUGCGAGCGUUAUCCGGAUUCACUGGGUUUAAAGGGUGCGUAGGUGGGCAAGUAAGUCAGUGGUGAAAUCUCCGGGCUUAACCCGGAAACUGCCAUUGAUACUAUUUGUCUUGAAUACUGUGGAGGUCAGCGGAAUAUGUCAUGUAGCGGUGAAAUGCUUAGAUAUGACAUAGAACACCAAUUGCGAAGGCAGCUGGCUACACAAAUAUUGACACUGAGGCACGAAAGCGUGGGGAUCAAACAGG